rnacentral:rRNA from 1 species
GGCGCACGGGUGAGUAACGCGUAUCCAACCUCCCUAUAGUAGUGGAUAGCCCGGGCGAAAGUCGGAUUAAUACACUAUCGUUAUUCAACGAGGACAUCUGAAUGAAUCAAAGGUUUACCGCUAUAGGAUGGGGGAUGCGUCUGAUUAGAUAGUAGGCGGGGUAACGGCCCACCUAGUCGACGAUCAGUAGGGGUUCUGAGAGGAAGGUCCCCCACAUUGGAACUGAGACACGGUCCAAACUCCUACGGGAGGCAGCAGUGAGGAAUAUUGGUCAAUGGACGGGAGUCUGAACCAGCCAAGUAGCCGUGCAGGAUGACGGCCCUAUGGGGUUGUAAACUGUCUUUUAUCGGGGGAAUAAAGUCACCCACGUGUUGGGUGUUUGUAGGUACCCGAUGAAUAAGGACCGGCUAAUUCCGUGCCAGCAGCUGC